rnacentral:rRNA from 1 species
GACGUAGGGCGCGAGCGUUGUCCGGAUUUAUUGGGCGUAAAGCGCUCGUAGGCGGCUCGUUGCGUCGGCUGUGAAAACCCGCAGCUCAACUGUGGGCUUGCAGUUGAUACGGGCAGGCUAGAGUUCGGUAGGGGAGACUGGAAUUCCUGGUGUAGCGGUGAAAUGCGCAGAUAUCAGGAGGAACACCGGUGGCGAAGGCGGGUCUCUGGGCCGAUACUGACGCUGAGGAGCGAAAGCGUGGGGAGCGAACAGG